rnacentral:rRNA from 1 species
UACAGAGGUGGCAAGCGUUGUUCGGAAUUACUGGGCGUAAAGGGCGAGUAGGUGGCCAUCUAAGUCAGACGUGAAAUCCCCCCGGCUUAACCUGGGAACUGCGUCUGAUACUGGACGGCUAGAGUAUGGGAGAGGGAUGUAGAAUUCCAGGUGUAGCGGUGAAAUGCGUAGAUAUCUGGAGGAACACCGGUGGCGAAGGCGACAUCCUGGACCGGUAGUUGACGCUGACGGCGCGAAAGCCAGGGGAGCAAAGCGGG